AAUCGGCUGCGAGUGGGGGCGGAGCGUCAGCUGUCAUAGACACGUGCUCUAGGAAACAGGAAGUAAAUACAGAGGAGUCCACAGAGCCACAGGUCGAAAGUGUGGCACCAUGCUGGAAGGCUACAGCCCUGUGACCCAGGCCCUGCUGGGCACUCUGUUCACCUGGGGUCUGACCGCCGCAGGAGCCGCCCUCGUCUUCAUCUUCUCCAGCCGACAGAAGCGGAUCUUGGAUGGAAGUUUGGGUUUUGCAGCCGGGGUGAGUUUAUUGUCCUCUGAACUCUACAGUUCACACACCGACACA